GAUGGGAAGACACCGGGGCCAGGAAAAGCCAUCCUUCAUGAGCUUGACAGCCCUGGGAGCCGACACAGGGACUUACUGAACGGGACUAAAGCAGUAUGUUGGGGUCAGCUACACUACACACUUCUACCAUGAUGCAUUGCUUCACCACAGGUUCCCAAACAGCCAGAAUGAACAUUGUCACCUUUUAGAGCUCAAGUUGGGUAUGCAGAGACCAGGAAGACUUUGGGAGACACCAUCCCACCUGAGGAUAACAGGCGCUAACUAUG